rnacentral:lncRNA from 1 species
CAUCGUAAACAUAUCAUUUCAAUAGGUCAUAAUUUGGAAGAAAAACGUAUAAACAACAAUUGAAAUUGAAUAAACACACUUUGGUGAGAUGUCUUGUUUAUUCACCAACAGAACUCACUAACCUGUCGCCUGUCGGUGGACUGACUAUUAUACAUUUCAGGGGAAUAAAACAAGGAUUACAAGUUUAAUACGAAAAACGAUAAGCAAGUGAAACUUGUCAUGACAAACCAAAAAUCACGUUUAAACCUAAUCAACGGGAGAGAUAGAGAUGAGCAAAGUCAUCUAGAGACUCCAAUAUGUGACUCUGAUCACCGUUUUCGAGCAUCCACAGAA